rnacentral:rRNA from 1 species
UGGGGAAUCUUGCACAAUGGGGGAAACCCUGAUGCAGCGACGCCGCGUGAGUGAUGAAGUCCUUCGGGAUGUAAAGCUCUUUCGACAGGGACGAUUAUGACGGUACCUGGAGAAGAAGCUGCGGCUAACUACGUGCCAGCAGCCGCGGUAAUACGUAGGCAGCGAACGUUGUUCGGAGUUACUGGGCGUAAAGAGUGCGUAGGCGGUUCGCUAAGUCUGGUGUGAAAUCUCCCGGCUUAACUGGGAGGGUGCGCUAGAUACUGGCGGGCUUGAGUAUGGGAGAGGAAAGCGGAAUUCCUGGUGUAGCGGUGAAAUGCGUAGAUAUCAGGAGGAACACCGGGUGGUG